rnacentral:rRNA from 1 species
AGCGAACGCUGGCGGCAGGCCUAACACAUGCAAGUCGAACGAAGCCUUCGGACUUAGUGGCGGACGGGUGAGUAACACGUGGGAACGUGCCUUUAGGUUCGGAAUAACUCAGGGAAACUUGUGCUAAUACCGAAUGUGCCCUUCGGGGGAAAGAUUUAUCGCCUUUAGAGCGGCCGGCGUCUGAUUAGCUAGUUGGUAAGUUAAUGGCUUACCAUGGCUACGACGCUUAGUGGAGCCGGGCGGCUGUCCCGCAACGAUGAGACUGAGCCACGGCCCAUACUCCGACGUGAGGCCGCAGUCGAGAAUCUUCCGCAAUGGACGAAAGUCUGACGGAGCGAUACAGCGUGGUAGACGAAGUGCUGCGGCAAGUAAACACCUUUUAUGUGGGACGAAAUUAUUGACGGUACCGCAUGAAUAAGGGGCUCCUAACUCUGUGCCAGCAGCCGCCGUAAUAC